AGCAUUUGUGUAUGUUUUUGUUUAACUUGUGGACAAAGACUUAUAGACAAGUGCAAAAAAUAGAUCCUCUUUUGCAACCCAGAACUCAUUGUUCAGUAUGAGUUUUGAUAAAUAUAAGCAGGUAUAUU
rnacentral:snoRNA from 1 species